rnacentral:lncRNA from 1 species
CUGGAUUUGGGCCUGGAUCUGAGAGAUCUGAGAUGGGGUUAGGUGGUUCAGGCCCACAAGAGAUGUGGGCUGCCCUUGCCCGAAACCAAUUAAGUUUUGGGUGGUGUUGGGUAUGGAUGAUAACCCGUUUGAGUAUAGGGAGGGAGAGUAGUUGUUGGGGGAAGGAGAGUAAGAGGUAGAAAGAAAACAAGAAUUUGAAGGAGAAGGGGUUGAGAAAGGACUUUUCAUAAAAGGU